GUCCUUUAGAGAAGAAUUUAAGGUUUAACCUGCCCAUUGAUUAUUUUAACGGCCGCAGUAUUUUAACUGUGCAAAGGUAGCAUAAUCAUUAGUUUUUUAAUUGAAAGCUUGUAUGAAUGGUUGGACGAAAUAUAAACUGUCUUUAAAUUAUAAAUAGAAUUUAAUUUUUAAGUUAAAAAGCUUAAAUUUAUUUAAAAGACGAGAAGACCCUAUAGAUUUUUAUAUUUAUUAAUUAUAUUUUAUAAGGAUUAUUAGUUUUUAUAUUGAAAUAAAUAUUUUAUUGGGGUAAUAGGAAGAUUUAUAAAAUUCUUUUAUUUUUAAACAUUGAUUAAUGAUUUUUUUUUGAUCCAUUAUUAUUGAUUAUAAGAUUAAAUUACCUUAGGGAUAACAGCGUAAUUUUUUUAAAGAGUUCUUAUCGAUAAAAAAGUUUGCGACCUCGAUGUUGGAUUAAAAUUUAUUUUAGGUGUAGUAGUUUAAAUAUUUAGUCUGUUCGACUAUUAAAAUUUU
rnacentral:rRNA from 1 species